rnacentral:other from 1 species
GUUUCCCUGCCUGGUUCGCCAUGGCCAUUAAUUCCUUGAACCGAUAAGCAUUUGCUUGGUGCGGGAUAUGCCGUGUGGGCGAGCGCGUCUUCCAGCGCAUAGCGUGCGACGCAAGUCGUGUGCUCCCUGUGCCGGUGAUGUACCCAAAAUGCGGCUUCCGCUGCCACUCUGAACCUCACUUGGGUUCAGGAUGCGGGUCUAGCGGCCAAGGUGGGGACCCA